GUUUACAAUUUGCAUUCUCCAAUUACUUGGAAGAAAUUAAGACGUAUUUUGAGAAGUGAAUAAUGCGUGAGAACCGCGCCCGGUUGGCGGUUACCACAGUAACCGCCACAGACAAUAACAAUUCAACAAGUGGUUAAGGAGAAGUUUCUCCUUUAUCGGUAAUGAUCCAACCGCAGGUUCACCUACGGUUA
rnacentral:misc_RNA from 1 species